rnacentral:rRNA from 1 species
AUUGAACGCUAGCGGGAGGCCUUACACAUGCAAGUCGAACGGAGCGGCGAACGGGUGAGUAAUGUAUCGGAAGGGGCCCAGUAGAGGGGGAGAACUACGCGAAAGCGAAGCUAAUACCGCACACUAUUGGACCGGCCGAUAUCGGAUUGACUAGUUGGUGGGGUAACGGCUCACCAGCGCAACGACCCGUAGCUGGUUGGAGAGGAUGACCAGCCACACUGGGACUGAGACACGGCCCAGACUCCUACGGUAGGCAGCAGUGGGGAAUUUUGGACAAUGGGGGAAAGCCUGAUGCAGCCAUGCCGCGUGUACGAUGAAGGCCUUCGGGUUGUAAAGUACUUUUAGCCGGAAGGCGGUACCUGCAGAAUAAGCACCGGCUAACUACGUGCCAGCAGCCGCGGUAAUAC